ACCUUUAAAAAAAUUAAAUUAAAAUUAAAAUAUAUCCCCCAAUUUUUUGAUAUUCUUACCUUUAAGAAGCAGAGCCUAAGCUUUGCGCAGUGCCAGUAUUGUAGCCAAUGAGGUUUAUCUGAGAUGCGAUUUUUGCUAAAAGAGGUUGCUAAAAGAGGUUUUUGCUAAAAGAGCUUAAUUUCCCUCCCCUCGGUUGUGGGAAAGAUUUAGUAACUCACUUCUAACCAGUAAAAUGAAGCAGAAAAUGUGAUGUGGGACUUCUGAGACCGAGUCUUCAAAAGGCACUGUUGCCCUCUCUUUGUCUUCACUUGCUCUAGGGAAAACAGCUGAUGUACCAUGUCAGCGUUGCAAAGGCCACAUGGUGAUGAACCUUGCUGCCACUAGCAACUGGAGUGAGCCAUCUAGGAAGUGGAUCCCCUAGGCCUGGUCAAGCUCUCAGAUGACUUCUCAUGAGGUUGCAAUCCUGGCCGACAGCAUGACAGCUACCUCAUGGGAUCCCUUCUUGAAUGAGAAGCUCCUAGCUAAGCCCCUCCUGAAUUCCUGAUUCUCAAAAAUUGUAGGAGUUUGCAUCCAGGUGAAGAAGUAGGUUACAGCUCCAGAAACAUAAUGAACUAUGGAAGGUUCUGGAUGUCCUGGCAUAUGAAGAGGAUUGCCGUGUAGUGGAAAUCCAAAGGAUGAUGUCCACAUCAUGGUCUUUGUGAACUACCGCACUGAAGCUAAGUCAUUUGGAGCCUGUGUGGCAGGACAGAUUAAGUGGAUAGAAGUGGAGAGAGGGAGACAGACUGAGAGACAGGCCAUCUGCUAAAAAUGAAGGACUCUGAGGGCCUAGAGGAUGAUGCUAAUGCAGGACAGAAGGAACCAGGAUGCCUGAGUCAUUGCUUGGAGAAGAGUUCUAUUGGACGUUGCACAACAAGAAAGAAAAUUAUGUUAAGCCACUGAAAGUUGAUGUUUGUUUAUUACAGUAGCUAGUACUAAUUAUUCUAAUAUCUUUUUGUUUCUGAAUUUGGGUUUGAUGUUGUCACGGUAAGAGAAUAAAGAAAAGAAUAAAGAAGCAGAAAACUA